rnacentral:rRNA from 1 species
GCACAACGCGAAGAACCUUACCUAGGCUUGAACUCCUACGAACCUGUUGUAAUGGACGGGGUGCCCGCAAGGGAAUGUAGUGAGAGGUGCUGCAUGGCUGUCGUCAGCUCGUGUUGUGAAAUGUUGGGUUAAGUCUCGCAACGAGCGCAACCCCUAUCGUCUGUUGCCAGCAUUUAGUUGGGCGACUCUGACGAGACUGCCUGGGUUAACCAGGAGGAAGGUGGGGAUGACGUCAAGUCCUCAUGGCCCUUAUGUCUAGGGCUACACACGUAAUACAAUGGCGCGUACAAAGGGAAGCGAACUCGCGAGGGGGAGCAAAUCUCAAAAAGCGCGCCUCAGUUCGGAUUGGAGUCUGCAACUCGACUCCAUGAAGUUGGAAUCGCUAGUAAUCGGAGAUCAGCACGCUCCGGUGAAUACGUU